GUAGUGUUUGUCCCGCCUGUCGCGUUUAGCUCCUGUGACUUUUUGACCAAUCGCGUUCUCUCCUGUCGCUUUUUGACCAAUCGCGUUUCUCUCCAGUAAGAAAUUGUAAGAAUAUAAACUAAAGUGAGACCAUAGCUGCGUCCGAAAUCCCCUACUGUGACAGUAGGUACGGAAUUAGAUUAAUUACCUACUUAUCGACAGUUAAAAGUAGUAACGUUACGUUCUAUAGUAUGAAUGAAUUUGUUGAUACAUCACGUGACAUACGUCGUCAUAACAACAAGUUAGUGGUUACCUGGAAUGAUGUCAAACUAGCGCAAUUUAACCACAAGGGACAGAAGUAUAAUAUAUGUAUUUUUAUUUUAAUAGAGCUGCGUUACCGCUUUUGGCUCAUCGAAUGAACACUUCGGGAUCUUGCCAGAAGUAGUAGGUCAUCCGGGUACUUUUUGCCUACUGGUUUUUAAAUACUAUGAAUUCGGACAUACUACUCGCCUACUGCUUUUCGCCUACUUACUAUUUAGUAUGGAAGUAUGCGGUUUCGCACGCAGCCCAUCUUUCAAGCUGACGUCCUGCGUCGCAAUCAUCCUCCUCGCGUCUUUUCUUUCGACCAAUCAGCAUUCAAAAGCAAGAUAAGGUCAUCCUCUUAUUUUUUUAUGGACAACUUUUCGCGGUACAUUAGCAAUUCUCAGGUGAAUUGAUGGGAAUGGAGUCCUUUAGAGCCAAAACACUGAGCCCAGUGCUCCAGAACCCAGAGGAGAAAGACCUGUUGAUGAGCAGGACCUGUAAGAUGAGGGGUUUGAGAAAGAGAUCAUGCAGGACAUCACAGUUUAGUGCUGAAUGAGGACCCCACAGCGUCUUUCCCCUUCAGUGCUGUCACAGCCAUGUGACACUGAAUCAGUCUCUCAGACGAGGCUCAGGACAAUAUUAUGCAAUGGCAAAGACGGUCUGUGCUUUGGGUAUUUUGCUGUUCAUAAUGGUUCAUGGACAACAGCGUAUGACCAACUAUUGUUUCAUGAAAUACUGUUCAGUUGGAAGAUAUAUACAAAGAUCAUGAAGACCUGAUAGAUCGGUGCCUGGAACGCAAUACAGCCAAAAGACCGACAUUAGAAGAGAUCUUACAACAAGAAGGGUUUGACAAGAAAUUAAGAUUCAUCACCGCUCUGGAUGUCGCAGAUGAUUGUGGUGUCAUCUGCACACUUCGAGUUUGAUGGAGGGGUGUUUUAAAAUCCAGUCGUUGAUGUAAAGGAAGAAAAGAAGUGAAGAAUGCACACAGCCCUGAGGAGCACCAGUGGUGAUGGUGCUGGAGGUAAACUUGCCCAAUUUCACUUAUUACAGAUUAUUAAGUGAUUCAUUGUAUCUUGACAGUUACACCCUUGCUGUAAAUAUUAAUAUAACAUGUUCUUGUUGUUGUUUGUGUCUCUGAUUUCUGAUUUAUAUAAUUUUCACUUCAUUGCAGUGGGGUACUCUGACUUUACUUCAGAAAAUGGGAAAUCUCACCGGUUCCUAACUCCCAAGUCUGAAGGACAAUUACAGGGCACGUUCCACCCUGUGACAUCUGGCAAACGAUACAAAGUAUUGUACAGUAUCCUCUCACAAACAGAUUUAAAAACUGCUUUUUCAUUUAAAAAAAAAGGUUUUGCACUUACAUUUUUAAGUAUAAUCAGCUUGUAUAUACAACUUUCAUUUCAACUUUAAUUUUAACUCUACUAGUGAUGAGUUGCUUUGACUAAAUAAAGUUACAGCAACGAAUCACUAGUCAAAAUAAAAAAUCAAAGGCAUAUUCAAGUUAAUAAUACUUAAAAAUGUAGUGCAAAAAUGUUUUCCAGUGUAACAAAAAGGGACGGUCAUACUACACUUUUUGUUCCAUUAACGUCCAGUCAUGCACAUGUGAAUGUGUCAGAUCGAAAAUUCAAGCUUGUGUAACUAUAUUUAACGUUUUGCUGUGUCUGAGUCUGGUGAACUCUGACCUGCGUA